CUGAGCUACAUCCCUGGCUCUUUCCUAUUCUGAGACAGGACCUUGCUAAACUGCCUGGGCUGGGCUCCAACUUGCAAUCCUCCUGCGUCAGUGCCUCAGAGAGCUGGGAUUAUAGGAGUACACCGCUGCACUCUACUGGGCCUGCACUACAGUUGCAUGCCACAAUGCGUGCACACUUUGUAACACUGGGUUUAGGUGUACACAAACAACUGUAUAGACGAGAGACCCCAGCAUCUGGACAAGGAUGGGCACUCGAUCACGUCUGCACUAUAGGCUACUCUCUCUCCUUUAAAUUCCCAUCGCCAUCGCCACUGCUGCCCAAAAGGUACGAUUUCAGAUACAAUGGUGCCACAGCAAUUACCAAAACUUCUCGUCAGAAACAAAGUGCAUUUAAUGGAUAAAUCUUUGCUGAAAAUCUAUUACCUCUAAAGCACUUGUGGGGAGGAGGUCAUCACAAGUCUGAAGAAAUAUCAAACCAGACACACAUCGUCCUUGCCUUCGUGUGCCAGAGUGGCACCCACCUGGGGGAGCUCUUGAUCUUAUCAGGAAUCACUAAAAUUGGAAAUGAAGCUACAAUUUUAAAAAUAUAUAGAAACCUAGCAUGGAUGCACCAAAAUUACAUGUGUAGAAUGAGGGUACUAGGGCUAGGGAUACAGCUCAGCAGCACAAGGGCUUGCCUAGCAAGCACAAGGUCAUGAGUUCGAUUCCCAGUAUAAAAAAGAGAAAAGAAUGAGGGUACCAAGCUUUGUGCCCUAACAGAGGCAAGAUGUGUGAGACCGGCCAGUAGAAUUCUAAAGAUCUGGACCCCACACUGUGGACAUUGAAAGUUCCAAGCUAUUAAAGUUGAAACUCGGGCUGGGGAUAUAGCUCAGUGGCACAAGUGCCUGCCUGGCAAGCACAAGGUCCUUAGUUUGAUUCCCAGGACCAAAGAAAACCAAAACAAAACAAAAAAUAAAUAAAUUAGGUUGAAACUCAUGGUUUUUUCUUUUAUCUUAAGCCAGUUCACAUGAAUGUGCUCCAUCCUAGCCAAAAGACUGAUCCC
rnacentral:lncRNA from 1 species